CCAAAGACUCUUUUCAGAGCCAAACCAAAAAAAAAAAAAAAAGGAUG
rfam:Mustela putorius furo unplaced genomic scaffold scaffold00192, whole genome shotgun sequence.